CGGAGCUUGCUCCACCGGAAAAAGGGGAGUGGCGAACGGGUGAGUAACACGUGGGUAACCUGCCCAUCAGAAGGGGAUAACACUUGGAAACAGGUGCUAAUACCGUAUAACAAUCAAAACCGCAUGGUUUUGAUUUGAAAGGCGCUUUCGGGUGUCGCUGAUGGAUGGACCCGCGGUGCAUUAGCUAGUUGGUGAGGUAACGGCUCACCAAGGCCACGAUGCAUAGCCGACCUGAGAGGGUGAUCGGCCACAUUGGGACUGAGACACGGCCCAAACUCUUACGGGAGGCAGCAGUAGGGAAUCUUCGGCAAUGGACGAAAGUCUGACCGAGCAACGCCGCGUGAGUGAAGAAGGUUUUCGGAUCGUAAAACUCUGUUGUUAGAGAAGAACAAGGAUGAGAGUAACUGUUCAUCCCUUGACGGUAUCUAACCAGAAAGCCACGGCUAACUACGUGCCAGCAGCCGCGGUAAUACGUAGGUGGCAAGCGUUGUCCGGAUUUAUUGGGCGUAAAGCGAGCGCAGGCGGUUUCUUAAGUCUGAUGUGAAAGCCCCCGGCUCAACCGGGGAGGGUCAUUGGAAACUGGGAGACUUGAGUGCAGAAGAGGAGAGUGGAAUUCCAUGUGUAGCGGUGAAAUGCGUAGAUAUAUGGAGGAACACCAGUGGCGAAGGC
rnacentral:rRNA from 1 species